rnacentral:rRNA from 6 species
GUCACACCCGUUCCCAUGCCGAACACGGAAGUUAAGCUCUUCAGCGCCGAUGGUAGUCGGGGGUUUCCCCCUGUGAGAGUAGGACGCCGCCAAGC